UGCAAGUAAUGAUAGGUACCCCUAUCUUACACCUUUUUUGCAAUAAUUUUUUUGCAUGCUUUCCUUGAUUUGGUUUCCUUUUCCAUGUGCAAUGUCAAUUUGUUAUUCCUUCAAAGUGAGAUGAAAAUGAAGAUUAUACUUGUAUAACUAAAGUUUGAUCUUCAGUCCUACUCCCUCCGUCUGGAAUUAGUUGACACUCAAAUGGAUGUAUCUAGAUGUAUUUCAGUGCUAGAUACAUCCGUUUGAGCGCCAACUUAUUUCGGACAGAGGAAGUACACAACAUCCUUUUUAACAGAAUAAAAGGCCACAACUUCACCACAUAUGAGUGUAACUAAAUCUCAUGUUUCAUGCUAUAACUUAUGUACUAAAUUCUAUUAACAUGACUAAUUUUUUUGGUUUUAUUUAAUAUCCCUCUAUAACAUCUUCAAUUAUCAAACAUGCCAGCAUUCAUGUGAAUGUUGGUAAAAUAUUCCUGUCCAUUUUGGUUCAGUAUCAAUUAAUGUAUUUUUCAUUAGAUAUAGGCAGUGGUGGGUGGCGGAAUGGCAAGGCGUCCAAUCAGAUGUCCUGGGUCCGUGAGGAGUUGGUGGCUCUCAACUACAACAAUAUCAUCAUGGCAAUCUAUAUUGGUUGAUCAAUUGCUAACAUCCUAACACAGCAUGUUUUGAAUUGCAUUUAUUUAUGACUAAAAGUAGCCGUUUCUACUGUUGUAUUAAGAUUUCAACGAGAAUGCAGAAUCGGCUCUAAGGGAGCAAGGGUGUUCGGCGCCUAGAGGAGUGUUCAGGUUCAAGGAUCUGGCCCUCGCCGUUGAGACCAACGGGGUCGUCGCCGAGUACAUCUGGUAUGUACACAUGAACCUCCCUCGACUACAAUGUCGCUGAUGUUUAUUUCUUCUUUCAUACUAUGUUCCUAGAGAGCACAGUAGUAGCUUCAGGAUAGGGGACCAAUCCUGCAUCUUUUUCUGAUUUCUUUUUUAUUAGAUUAGCACGAGAGCGAGCAGUGCAUUGAAGAUUUGACCCCUUAAAGUUCAUACUACUUAUAUCCAAAGUUUCCAAGACUUGGUGGGUGAUAAGUGACGUUUGUAGUUUGUAGUCUAUAAUCGUCUUGGUCCCGGUUCCAACUGGUUGGAUACAUGUUUUACCAGAAAAAGAAAAUUGUGUGUUACUAAUUCAUGUACUCUCAGAAGUAAUGUUCCUUUUUCCCUGUAAUUGGGGUUCGCUUCAUGUUAAAUUUACUAUAAAUUGUAUGUGGUGGGAUCUAGGAUCCUACCUGGUCUAGGGCGUAGGUUGUACGGGAAGGGGGAGGGUUGACGGAGAUGCGAUUGCGGCUGCCGGCGGUGGGGUGCCGUGUCGUGAUGAAGAAGAGGCGGCGGCGGCGCAAGAGGU
rnacentral:lncRNA from 1 species